rnacentral:rRNA from 1 species
AGAUUGAACGCUGGCGGCAUGCCUAACACAUGCAAGUCGAACGGGAGUAGCAAUACUCUAGUGGCGGACGGGUGAGGAAUACGUAGGAAUUUGCCCUUAAGUGGGGGAUAACCCGGGGAAACCCGGAUUAAUACCGCAUGACCUCGAAAGAGCAAAGUGGGGGAUCGCAAGACCUCACGCUUUUGGAGAAGCCUACGUCGGAUUAGCUAGUUGGUGAGGUAAUGGCUCACCAAGGCGACGAUCCGUAACUGGUCUGAGAGGAUGAUCAGUCACACCGGAACUGAGACACGGUCCGGACUCCUACGGGAGGCAGCAGUGGGGAAUAUUGGACAAUGGGGCGCAAGCCUGAUCCAGCAAUGCCGCGUGUGUGAAGAA